AUUGAACGCUGGCGGAAUGCUUUACACAUGCAAGUCGAGCGGCAGCGCGGGGGCAACCCUGGCGGCGAGCGGCGAACGGGUGAGUAACAUAUCGGAACGUACCCUGUCGUGGGGGAUAACUAUCCGAAAGGAUAGCUAAUACCGCAUACGACCUGAGGGUGAAAGCGGGGGACCGCAAGGCCUCGCGCGAUAGGAGCGGCCGAUAUCGGAUUAGCUAGUUGGUGAGGUAAAGGCUCACCAAGGCGACGAUCCGUAGCGGGUCUGAGAGGACGACCCGCCACACUGGAACUGAGACACGGUCCAGACUCCUACGGUAGGCAGCAGUGGGGAAUUUUGGACAAUGGGGGCAACCCUGAUCCAGCCAUUCCGCGUGAGUGAAGAAGGCC
rnacentral:rRNA from 1 species